rnacentral:rRNA from 1 species
CCUACGGGUGGCAGCAGUGAGGAAUAUUGGUCAAUGGGCGGAAGCCUGAACCAGCCAAGUAGCGUGCAGGAUGACGGCCCUACGGGUUGUAAACUGCUUUUAUACGGGAAUAACGCGCCUUACGUGUAGGGCUUUGCAUGUACCGUAUGAAUAAGGACCGGCUAAUUCCGUGCCAGCAGCCGCGGUAAUACGGAAGGUCCUGGCGUUAUCCGGAUUUAUUGGGUUUAAAGGGAGCGUAGGCCGCAUGUCAAGCGUGCUGUGAAAUGUCCGGGCGCAACCCGGGCCUUGCAGCGCGAACUGGCGUGCGUGAGACCGCGGAAGGCAGGCGGAAUUCGUGGUGUAGCGGUGAAAUGCUGAGAGAUGACGAAGAACCCCGAUUGCGAAGGCAGCUUGCUGCAGCGGAACUGACGCUGAUGCUCGAAAGCGCGGGUAUCGAACAGGAUUAGAUACCCGGGUAGUC